rnacentral:misc_RNA from 1 species
GAUGAAGAACGCAGCUAAAUGCGAUAAGUAAUGUGAAUUGCAGAAUUCAGUGAAUCAUCGAAUCUUUGAACGCACCUUGCGCCCUUUGGCCAUUCCGAAGGGCAUGCCUGUUUGAGUAUCAUGAACACCUCAACUCUUUAUGGUUUUCCAUGAUGAGCUUGGACUCUGGGGGUUUUGCUGGCUCACAGUCGGCUCCUCUAAAAUGAAUCAGCUUACCAGUGUUUGGUGGGUAUCAUGGGUGUGAUAACUAUCUACGCUUGUGGUUUUUCCACCAGGUAACCUUCAGCAGUGGAGGUUCGCUGGAGCUCAUAGAUGUCUCUCCUCAGUGAGGACAGCCCUUUGAAUGUUUGAUCUCAAAUCAGGUAGGACUACCCGCUGAACUUAAGAAUAUCAAUAAGCGGAGGA